AGCAGUUUCUGAAGCUGUAUAAAAGGACUCACAAAACACUGCUCUUUACUCACUUCUCUUGAUUUACUCUCUGUUAUAAAUCAGGUUCACUUCCAGCACACCAAGAUGUUUGACAGCCUGGACAUGAUUGAAGACCUGCAUUACCCGGGCCAGUCUGACUGUUUUCCCCACCAGCGUAGAAGGCCACCAUACACGUGUUGUUGCUAUGACCAAUGGGGAAGGCUGGUCUGGCGAGGUUGCUGCUGGUCUGCACCCCCCUGGUGGUGCCGUUAGGGUGGCUCUGGAAAGGGCUGGCCAUGCUAAAUGCAGCUAGAAUAUCCAUG